ensembl:lncRNA
AUUUUAACCCCAACAUUAAAAAUGAAACACACCCUUAAAUCACAAUGAAAAUACUUCUGUUGUCACAAUCAUGAGUUAGUCAAUUAUUCAGUUUAUCAAUUCAACUUUAUUUGUUUAGCACCUUUCACACAGAUUACAAAACUAAACAAGCAAAGAGAAAAAAACUAUGCUAAAACUAUGAUUAAAACUCAACAACAGACAAAAAAAGAUUUAACAUCGUAAUAAAAUAUGUUGUGUCCAGGGGAUGGAGGAAGUUUAUUUAAGUCUUCUUGGGCUCACAUGGUAAAUCGUUGAAAAUAUAAACUUGAUAUUCAGUCUAAGGAAACUGCAGAGCGACAGAAGAACCAACAAUAUCUCCUGUUUUCUCCUUUAAUGAGUCGACUCUUCUUGUGCUUUCAGACCAAAGAACUACAGACUCUUCACAACCUGCUCAAACUCUUGGUACAGGACCUCACCACACGGGUCAAGAAGGUUGCUUUGUAGAACUGUUCCAGAAAACCUCACUAAACCACAUGGAGGGGCCUCAAGAUAGUCGUCCAAAUGAAACCGUACAAAAACCAAACUAACACAACCCAAACGCUAAAGUCUCCUGCAGCCUACCAGAGAACCUCUGAGAACAGAGAAUCAGGACAGGAACUCUUACCUUCUGGACAACCAACGCUGGUUCUCAAACAAGAAUACAGAAUGUAUCUGACCAAAAACCUCUGAAGACUCACUACAGCCAAGAUAAAGACACAACUCAGGUGCAUCAAAUCCACUAAUCACUGCACACAUUAGCACCAUGUGCCAACUGUGGCUAAAGAACCACAUUUACCAAGACAACUAUCCAGUACAAAGCCCUAAAACACACCAAGAAACACAUUAAAGAUGAUUUUACUGCUGGAAGCUUCAAGCCAACGCCUAAAGAACAAACAAAAGCAAUGGAGCCAAACCCGGUUCAGUGGUGAAGAGAAACAGAGGAAAUGUUUGCCUGCAGCCACAUAAACGAGGAAGACACUGAGGUGCUCAGGUGUUCCUGAUAACACCAAGCAGCCACCUGGACAGCCAAUAGGAACACAGCUUACUGGAAGUCCAGAGGGCUGGGUUAGUGAAGGAAAUUUAGUUUAAAGUUGAAGCAGAAAGUUAACAAAGAAAGUUGAAAACCACCUUCUGAUACCUGAAAUCUCUGUGUUUUCACACAAAGAACACCUGAACAUGUUAAACUGGUUCCAUAGUAGAACCAUCAUUGUAAAAACGUCAUAGUAUGGUGUGUUGCUCAAAAAACAUUAGGACCCGGCUGUCAGGGGACAAACAUGUAAGAACCAUGAGAACAGAGAGAACCCAACCAGUAGGUCACAGUUUAUCAUCCCCCAGUCAUCUCCUGAAGUCCAUAUGGUGAGAGACAUCAGUAUCUGGUUGUUAAUUUACCAGAGGAUGCUUAUAAUCAUGCUGAUGUGGUCUGUACUCUACAGUAUUUUAGUGACUCAAUAAAUGCCUAAGUUGUUUUUUUAAAAUGCUUUUUAGUUUUUAAUAAACAUUUAACAGCCUAUAUGUAAUCAAUAAAUGGCCUUUGCCUAUCUUAAGAAAAACUCACUCAGAACUCUGAUAUGUUAACUGUACUAAAUAAAUCAAUAAAUACAUGCAUACACACAUAAAUAAGUUAAUAUAUUAACUGUUAAGAUAAGAUUGAGA